GGUGGUAUCUGCUCCACAUGCCCUACAGAACAUGGUUUGCUGGCCACCUGACUGGUAGCUUACCAGUGUUCAUAUGACCCACUAUCUGACUCUGUUGACACUGUCCAGGCCACCAGGAAGCCAGGGCAGUGGCCUUGAGAGUUGCCCCAGUGAUGGUGGUCCAAGGCCUAAGAUCACCAGGACCCAAGCUCUUGUACUCUGUUGAAGAUCUGGCAUUCAUCUCAAGAGACCCCAACAACCGCUUUGAACCAGAAAAAGAACUCUGGUAUGUACCAUCAGGAAAGAUGAUUCUACCACAAGAACAAGUGUUGACAAUGAUAAGACAAAUGCAUCAAUGGCCCUACCUAAGGAUAUCAAGUUAACUCAAACUGCCUUAAGACCUAAGUAUUAUGUUCCAGGACUGAAACAACCUGGUGGAACAAAUAGUUUACAGUUGUGUUCCCUGCCAAAAAGUAAAUGCUUGCAGAAGCAAAGCUGACCCCAGUAAGAGACCUCAGGGAGAUAAGCCAGGAGCCUAUUGGGAAGUGGAUUUCACCGAGAUAAAACCAGUCAAGAAUUUUAAUCUGAAAUAUUCACAGAAGUGUGCCAUGAAAUUGAAAAUAUUUCAUCACUGAGUGACAUAUUUCUCCAAUGGAAGGCUAUACAAGCCAGAGGAGUUGACAGGAACAGAAGCAAAUUACAAAUAAAAUUACUGAGAACAUAGUACCUAGAAGCCACAACUGUUGUCAUUUGGUUUCCUGUGAUGCCUGUGGCCAUGGCUAUCGCAGACCUCCUGUAAGGCCUUCAGACUCUAGUGUCUUCAGAG
ensembl:lincRNA